GAACGCCGUGUGCGAUGAAAGUCGCCCGCACGGUGUAGGCUCGAACGAAGCUCCUCGCAAGAAGAAGGAGAUAAGUCGAGAAUAGCGAAGAACCAGCGCCCAUUUCAAAUUUGCAU
rnacentral:ncRNA from 1 species